rnacentral:rRNA from 1 species
GACGAACGCUGGCGGCGUGCUUAACACAUGCAAGUCGAACGGAAAGGCCCUGCUUUUGUGGGGUGCUCGAGUGGCGAACGGGUGAGUAACACGUGAGUAACCUGCCCUUGACUUUGGGAUAACUUCAGGAAACUGGGGCUAAUACCGGAUAGGAGCUCCUGCUGCAUGGUGGGGGUUGGAAAGUUUCGGCGGUUGGGGAUGGACUCGCGGCUUAUCAGCUUGUUGGUGGGGUAGUGGCUUACCAAGGCUUUGACGGGUAGCCGGCCUGAGAGGGUGACCGGCCAAAUUGGGACUGGGAUACGGCCCAGACUCCUACGGGGGGAAGCAGUGGGGAAUAUUGCACAAUGGGCGGAAGCCUGAUGCAGCAACGCCGCGUGCGGGAUGACGGCCUUCGGGUUGUAAACCGCUUUCGCCUGUGACGAAGCGUGAGUGACGGUAAUGGGUAAAGAAGCACCGGCUAACUACGUG